rnacentral:rRNA from 1 species
ACAGCGGCAUAGUGGUGAGACCCCCGUAUAUGGUGCGGACGCCCAGCGCUUUGUGAUACAUUUUCGAAGAGUCGAGUUGUUUGGGAAUGCAGCUCAAAUUGGGUGGUAAAUUCCAUCUAAAGCUAAAUAUUGGCGAGAGACCGAUAGCGAACAAGUACCGUGAGGGAAAGAUGAAAAGCACUUUGGAAAGAGAGUUAACAGUACGUGAAAUUGUUGGAAGGGAAACGCUUGAAGUCAGACUUGCUUGCCGAGCAAUCGGUUUGCAGGCCAGCAUCAGUUUUCCGGGAUGGAUAAUGGUAGAGAGA